rnacentral:lncRNA from 1 species
GUAGGGGGCUUGUGCCUUCGAAAUUGCUCGACCACUGAAGCAUGGUUUGGAACAUUAGGAGCUAGUGGUAGGGGUUGAGCUUGGUUCGGGUUUUGCCUACCUAGGUCUUGAACCGCUCGGAGGAGGUCUCUUAUCAAGUUUUGGUUUGCGCGGGCCAUUUCCUUUAGACAAAACAUAUGGUUCUUAUUAGUUUCAUUCUUCGAAUACUAAAGCAAAGAAGAUAGUAU